rnacentral:tRNA from 1 species
GCCAGCAUAGCUCAGCUGGUUAGAGCAGCGGAAUCAUAAUCCGCGUGUCGAAGGUUCGAAUCCUUCUGCUGGCA